rnacentral:misc_RNA from 1 species
GGUAAGCAGUGCACUAAUACAAAAAGUAUGUCCCUGAUUUUCCGUUUAACAACUGGAGAAGCAACAAUAAAGCAUGUUCCUGGUUUACAGCUGCAAGUGCUACCACAUACACCCCUCCUUUAGUCACAUUUUUCUUUGGACUUGUUCCUGUUAAUAUUCAUCUAUGUAUGUAUAUAGAGUUUCAUCUUUCUUUGAUUUGCGUCGACUGAGCAACGAUUUAAGCAGACGUUUACUUUUGCUGGAAUGUUGCUCAGGAUCUUUGGUGUUUAUAUUGUCCACAUAAAGUCGCAUUGAAG